rnacentral:rRNA from 1 species
GAUGAACGCUGGCGGCGUGCUUAACACAUGCAAGUCGAACGAUGAAGCCCAGCUUGCUGGGUGGAUUAGUGGCGAACGGGUGAGUAACACGUGAGUAACCUGCCCUUAACUCUGGGAUAAGCCUGGGAAACUGGGUCUAAUACCGGAUAGGAGCGUCCACCGCAUGGUGGGUGUUGGAAAGAUUUAUCGGUUUUGGAUGGACUCGCGGCCUAUCAGCUUGUUGGUGAGGGAAUGGCUCACCAAGGCGACGACGGGUAGCCGGCCUGAGAGGGUGACCGGCCACACUGGGACUGAGACACGGCCCAGACUCCUACGGGAGGCAGCAGUGGGGAAUAUUGCACAAUGGGCGCAAGCCUGAUGCAGCGACGCCGCGUGAGGGAUGACGGCCUUCGGGUUGUAAACCUCUUUCAGUAGGGAAGAAGAGAAAGUGACGGUACCUGCAGAAGAAGCACCGGCUAACUACGUG